UACGGGGGGGGCAAGCGUUGUUCGGAAUUACUGGGCGUAAAGGGCUCGUAGGCGGCCAACUAAGUCAGACGUGAAAUCCCUCGGCUUAACCGGGGAACUGCGUCUGAUACUGGAUGGCUUGAAUCCGGGAGAGGGAUGCGGAAUUCCAGGUGUAGCGGUGAAAUGCGUAGAUAUCUGGAGGAACACCGGUGGCGAAGGCGGCAUCCUGGACCGGUAUUGACGCUGAGUGAGCGAAAGCCAGGGGAGCAAACGGG
rnacentral:rRNA from 1 species